rnacentral:rRNA from 1 species
UGCGUAGGCGGGUCUUUAAGUCAGGGGUGAAAUCCUGGAGCUCAACUCCAGAACUGCCUUUGAUACUGAGGAUCUUGAGUUCGGGAGAGGUGAGUGGAACUGCGAGUGUAGAGGUGAAAUUCGUAGAUAUUCGCAAGAACACCAGUGGCGAAGGCGGCUCACUGGCCCGAUACUGACGCUGAGGCACGAAAGGCUGGGAAGCAAACA